UUCCUAUCUAUUGUACAGGUAUAUGAUACACUGACAGCUCAUUGUAAAUAAUCAUACUCAGUAAGUUAAUGCACUUUAUUCUGUAAGUGGAGACCACAGAACAGGAAUCACUUGUCGAUGUACAUAUAUACUGUAAUCACAUGAUAGUCACAUGAUGAGGUUUCUCUGGAAUUAUUGGGCUUCUUUCUUAGAAGUGGUGGAGAGAUUUCAGAAAGUGCUCCAAGCCAUUCCUCAUUGAAGGACUACCAGUUGUGACCAUAACUACCAGGUAUGUUUAGAUCAUGGUAAAGAUGAUGCUGCUCGUACAUGGCUAAUACUAAAGUUAUUGUAUUGUGGGAUGGACCCACAAGUAUCAACGCUAGGACUGACCCCAUUACAACUAGCAAGAGAACAAGAACAACCAGACUCUGAGAAGGCUUCUCUUCAGAAUAGUUCAGAUAAAGGAAAUAAUGAUACAAUGAAGGAUAAAGGAUUAAAGGUA